UAGGUGAAGUAAAUUUACGCUUAUUAUUGUUUUUUUUAUCAAGUGUGCUUCUUAUUUGGAGUAUUUGGUAGUUUCAUUACUUUUUUUAUUUUGCUCUAACAUAACAUGAGUUACAAGAGUGGAUACAAAAAUGGUGGAGAGUUGACAAGUAACCAACAACACUAAGGGAGGAUUUUAGGCUAUAGGUCACAAGGAAUAUCAACACUAUAUCGUCUGUGAAAAGCAUACACCAAGGAAUAUUAUCUUGAAUAUGUCCUGUUAACUCAUCCAUUACCAAUGCAAAAAGGUAAGGACUUAAAGAUGAGCCUUGAUGUAACCCUACAGUUAUGGGGAAGCUUUCGGUUUGUCCUUCAUGAAUUCUUACGGUAGUCCUUGCUCCAUCAUACAUAUCCUUUAGAGCUUAGAUAUAUGCUACUCGUACUUUUUUCUUCUCUAAAAUCCUCCAAAGAAUGUCUCUUAGAACCCUAUCAUACGCUUUUUCCAAAUCUAUAAAGACCAUGUGCAUAUCAUUUUUCAUAUUCCUAUAUCAUUCCAUCAAUCUUCGUAAGAGAUAGAUUGCCUUCAUGGUUGAGAGUCUUGGCAUGAACCCGAAUUGGUUGUUCGAGACUCGUGUCUCUUGCCUCAGUCUAUGCUCAAUUACUCUCCCAAAGCUUUAUUGUAUGACUCAUUAACUUAAUACUCAUAUAGUUCAAGAAACUUUGUACGUUGCCUUUAUUCUUGUGGAUAGGCACCAAAAUACUCUUUCGCCACUCAUUUGGCAUCUUCGUUUUCAAAAUCCUAUUGAAAAGGUCCCCCAAAGAAGUAAUCUUUUCCCGUCCUUCAUUGAAAAGAUUAUGAAAAUAACCUCUCCGUCUGUCUUUGACCGCGUUCUCUAUAGCAAGAACCUUUUCAUUCUCAUCCUUGAUGCACCUCACUUGGUUUAGAUCUCUUGUCUUCUUUUCCCUUGCUCUAGCUAGUUUAUAGAUAUCCAACUCUCCUUCUUUGGUAUCUAGUCGCUUAUACAUAUCGUCAAAAGUUGUUAGUUUAGCUUCUCUCACAUCUUUCUUCGCCUCCUUCUUCGCUAUUCUAUACCUUUCACCGUUUUUUUCGGUCAUAUCCUUGUAUAAGGUUUUACAACAUUCCUUCUUAGCCUUAACCUUUUGUCUGUACAUCCUCCUUCCACCACCAAGAUUCCUUUUGGUGUGGAGAAAAACCCUUGGACUCUCCUAAUACCCAUUUUUUUACUUUUCGGAUACUACUAGCCAUGGAAUCCCACAUUUGGCUAGAUUGCCCCUCUAUUCCAAACAUAUUGGGUGAUUACCUUCUCUUUGAAAAUGACUUGUUUUUCUCCUUUUAGAUUCCACCAUCUAGUCCUUGGGCACUUCAAGGUCUUGUUUUUUUUUCUCUCUUUGGAUAUGUACAUCCAUCACCAACAAGCGAUGUUGAUUAGCCGAGCUCUAUCCCGGUAUAACUUUACAAUCCUUACAAGUUAUAUUUGAUAAGUUUUACUAAUUAUUUUAAUCAUACUACAUACAAUCUUGUACUAAAUCUCUUCCAUAGAUCUACUCAAAUGACUUGGAACUUCAUAUUAAUUAGUUUCAAGCAAUCAUAAGGAGAAAUGAAAUAAUUGUGAUAUUUUAGAUCAUUCAUAUCAAGUAACAAUAAGGAGACAUGAAAAAAAUUGUCUACUAACAACAAAGUUGCCUAGUCACAAUGAUAUGUCAUAGUCACUUAUUGAUCUCAAACACUUCUUCACAAAGAAGACUAGGCUUCUUACAACCUUUUUAGCAUAUAAGAUCUCCAAGCGCAUAGAGAACUUCAAGAUCACAUUGUUGAAUACAAUUCUUUAAAAAUGAGGCUAAUGGGCACCCUAAUACCCCUAAAAGUUAAACAAGGAAGAUGCAACGAACAAGCCUCGACAAGAGAUCUUAGAGGAUGGGGUCAAAGCUUCGUACUCAAGCCAACCUGUGUCAUUUCUCAUUCGAUCAAAGAAAGAGUUAAAAUUGACCUUCAAUCCACGCGACAGACCACCGUAGGCAUGAAGUCCACAAAUGUGGUAAGGGUGCGGAUGAGCACCAACAGCAAUUUGAGGCAAAGAGGAAGCAUAAAUUGAAAAAUCUACAGAUGAAGAGUGAAAGAACAGAAAGAGGGAAAAUAUAUGGUGUCGGGGGGGGGGGGGGUUAGAGAAGAAGAUGGAGUGGGUGUUGCAAGGAUGAAAGAAACAAGUGGAGGAAGAACAGAAACAAGAACAAACCACAAAAUGGGCAUAGCACCCAAAUCUGAGACACUAGCUCAAAACAACUGAGACAAAAUCUUAGAAAACUGAUACAAGAGCUCAUAAGGUUGCAAAUCAGAGGGGUUGGGUGGAGCAAAAGCUUUGCUAUCCCAUUACACAAGUAAUCAACAAUGAGAACAACAGUAACUCAGCUCAGGUUUACCGGCGGUUGACAUGCAUGAUCAGCUUAUCACUCUCUAUGGCAUGGCUAUCAACAAAGGGGAAUGAGACCAACUCAUCUUGGUUCUUAGGUGGUGAUGACCACAGCCUAGUCAAGUUGAUUGAUUUCGAUGAUGUCCCUUUUUCCAGUCAUUCAUCACAGUCAACCAAGGCAAUGAGGUCAGCUCGAAUUGCCGAUGGUGGACCCUUUGAUGGCCUAAAAAGGCCUUUCUAUACGUGGGAGUAUGUUGGCCCUAAUACGUGACGACUCCUUAUUGAUGUAUUCAACUCGGAAAGUUAUAGGUAAAGAAUGCCAAAUAGUAAAAAUAGGAAGAUCUAGAUGACAAAAAGCUUAUUCACACUCUAGCAAAUAGAUGUAUCAACUGCUUAGAAGCUAGCUUCAAAAGAAUUUUCUUUUGACGCAAUAGACAAGUUAAUACACACCACCCUACAAUAAGAGCAUAUUUUCUGUGCAAGCUCACAGAUUCCCUACAACAAGAGCCUCUUUUCUAUGCACGCUCACAUAUUGAUAUACUAAAUCCUAUUUAACACAUUCUAGGUUAAAGGAGCUACUUUAAAAUGGUAUUUCUAGUUUUAUUAAUAAAAAU
rnacentral:lncRNA from 1 species